rnacentral:rRNA from 1 species
GAAGCCUGACGACGCAACGCCGCGUGGAGGAUGAAGGUCUUCGGAUUGUAAACUCCUGUUGCCCGGGACGAAACGCUCCGACCUAACACGUCGGAGUCUGACGGUACCGGGUGAGGAAGCCCCGGCUAACUCUGUGCCAGCAGCCGCGGUAAUACAGAGGGGGCUAGCGUUGUUCGGAAUUACUGGGCGUAAAGGGCGCGUAGGUGGCCUGUUAAGUCGAACGUGAAAUCCCCGGGCUCAACCCGGGAACUGCGUCCGAGACUGGCAGGCUCGAAUCCGGGAGAGGGAUGUGGAAUUCCAGGUGUAGCGGUGAAAUGCGUAGAUAUCUGGAGGAACACCGGUGGCGAAGGCGGCAUCCUGGACCGGUAUUGACGCUGAGGCGCGAAAGCCAGGGGAGCAAACGGGAUUAGAUACCCCGGUAGUCCUGGCCCUAAACGAUGAAUGCUUGGUGUGGCGGGUAUCGAUCCCUGCCGUGCCGAAGCUAACGCAUUAAGCAUUCCGCCUGGGGAGUACGGUCGCAAGGCUG